rnacentral:rRNA from 1 species
UACGGGGGGGGCAAGCGUUGUUCGGAAUUACUGGGCGUAAAGGGCGCGUAGGCGGUUCGAUAAGUCAGCUGUGAAAACCAUGGGCUUAACUCAUGGCCUGCAGUUGAGACUGUCGGGCUGGAGUGUGGGAGAGGAGAGUGGAAUUCCUGGUGUAGCGGUGGAAUGCGUAGAGAUCCGGAGGAAGACCGGUGGCGAAGGCGGUCUGCUGGGCAGUUUCUGACACUGAUGCGCGACAGCGUGGGGAGCAAACAGG